CUUCCUGUUCAUUGUCAAUGAAUUCCACUUAGUUCCACCUGUGUCACUCCUUCAGUGUUGGAGCAUUCUUGCCCUUCCCUUCCAGGCUAAGACUUCAUGUUGGUUCCACACCUCUUUGGAGUGCUGUUGCUUUUGACGGCCACCUGCGUUGGUGAAGGCACAAGUGGGACAAUGGAGUGAAAAAAAGGAGAGAGCGUCAGUGAUGAUUCACCUGUAGCGCAAGCAAGGUGCAAGGAGAAAACCCGAAUACACCGACAAAACCCAGACAAGCAGGACCCCGGAUUCUUACCCUAGAACCAUCAUAGCUCAACACAAGUAGUUUGGGAAGAAUGGGCUCUGCAAAGCAUGAAGAGACUCGUCCCUCUGCUCGAUCUUCUUGUCAUCUCCAUUAAAGGCUUGAGAAGCGAUUGAAAUGUGACAGAAAGACAAACACAGCGGGGCUCAGAGUGCAGCACAGCUGAGACUUUUUCAAGCCCCUGAUGGAGUAUCCAGCAAAGUUCUUCUCCGUUUUUCUGCUGCCUUGCCAACAAUGCGGCAACAAGACUAUUUCCCCGGACGCCACCCCCGGGGGCGGAGGGGUUAACAGGAAAUGGUGCGAGGGCAGGCGAUGCCAGGGGGGAUUGUUGAAGAUGAGGAAGAGUUUAGGAAGUGGGCGAUGGGGGAAGGAGGAGGAGGACUUGAAGUGUGCAGAGGAUGAUGGAGGGAUGACGGAUGCCAGAGUCCAGACCCGCCGUGCAGGAAGUCAUCCAUUCUGAGAAGUGCUUGUUAGAAGAUGGCUAUGGUUACUGGAGGACAUCACACCAGCUCUUCGUCAGGCGAGCGGACGUGCCUCGUUUUAUUUGGACCUUUGGGUUGGGCUAGACAUAGGGCCGGGGUCGGCAACCCGCUGGUCCUGCUUUAGUCCUGUCUUAGUGGCUCCCUGGAACUUUUUACAAACAUGCAUGAAAAUGGCAAAAGAUGAUGGAAAAAAAAAAAAAAUUGGGGGGUUUAAAAUGUUUUUUGUAGGAGAACAAACAUGAUACAAACCUGCCUAAUUGUUAAAAAUCCCAGUGUUUAUAUUAAACAUUGUUAGUUGUGAAGUGAAUUAUAUUUAUAUAGCGCUUUUUUCUAGUGACUCAAAGCGCUUUACGUAGUGAAACC